CUACACGGAGACUUCCAGCAGCCCCCUCUCUGAGGCCGAGGAGUCUUGUUCAAAUACUGUCUGACUGAGAGAUAAUUAUGGGGGAAAUGCCAAUUCCACAUUUCAUAUCUCUGCACUUUAGUACUGUCAGAGCCCCACGGAGACGGGAUACGAAAGGAACAGUCUGACAGGCGAGGGAGGGGAGCCGUGCAGUCCUGGAACUGCGCCAGGCAAUGUGGAAGUCAUUGAGAUUUACCAGCAUCAUUUCCAUAAUCGUUUUUGGAUGCACAACAGCUGAAGAUUGUGCCUGGAUUCCCCUUUGCAAGCAUUCUGGAGUCACAACAUCGGCAUAGAAGGUGGCCAGCCUUCGGCUUUUGCAGUCGUUUGUGGAGUCUUUAUGGAAGAGCAGCGUGGUCAAGAGACCACGGCUGCGUAACCCCGUCUGCAGUAUGUGAGGCCGGAGUGCUGACCCUGGACCUGCCCAGUCAUGCCUUCUCGGUCAGCUGUUCAUCUCAUCUGCUACCACGGGAAAAGAAAUGCCCUGAAGACUGCUGGCCGUGUGUUCAGUGAUUCUCACAGAGCACAGAAAAUGAAACAUCAGAGAAACUGCCCUUAGGCGGGGCUGGCAAAUAUCUCCCCUACUGGGCGCAGGGCAGACUUCACCUCAAGGUCUUCCUCCACACACAUUCCACAGCCCAGCCAGUCCUCCAGGGCGGAACUCAAGAUAAAUCUAUUCACCAUCUCUGUUCUCUUGGGAGUGGGGGAGGAUACGAAGCUGAGGUCUAGCAUCCGGGCCAGGGCUUUCUCGGCCACGGCUCCUGGCCUGGGUGAUGGUGGGAGGGAGGAAUGUGAUGAUCAACACUCCAGUUUCUUGUCCAAGGCUGCCUGUGGCCGAUGUGCUGCCUAUUUGGGGAGAAAAGAGAAACACGUAGGCUUGUCUCGGGUGUUCCUAGAGGAUGUGGGAUGGCCACCCAUGGCAGAAAACUAACUUGGUUCACUAGAGUGUGUGACAUCGGGACCUGAGAUCCAACUUACCAAGUGCUAUCUACGUGACUUCACCCCUCAGUGUAUUCAUCUAUGAAAUGGGGAUAAUACUAGCACUGGAGGAUAAAUAAAUCGAUCAACAUGUGUAAAGUGCUUAGAAGGUGCCUGCCAUGCAGGAAGCAAGCACUGGGCACUAGCUAUCGCUAUCAUUUCUGCUGUCCUCGAUGAGUGCAACUAGUUGCUGAGCUGGGGUAGCUGAAAGUGACUGGUAGUAGAGGGGGUGAGAACAGGUAAAAGGCCACGACGCAGAGAAGCCAGAGGCCAUGCAGGUUGAACUCCAACAGGAGCAGUGGCUGUAGGGGAGAGGCUUGACCCUGGAGCUGGUCAUGAUGUGCAGGUGGGAUGGGCUGGGGGCUCCCGUGUGAGAGCACAGGAGGAGAGGCUGUGUUUCCCAAGCCUGCAAAGGGCUAGAGUGAAAAGAGACCUAGGUAUGACUAACAAGGCCUGGCAACUUGGCGUUCUCCACAUAUGUAAUUCUUCCUAUCAAAGCAGGUUCCCAAACCCUGGUUUCUUCCUGCCUCUCAGCUUAACAUUAUCAUUGCUCCUUCAUCCAUCAGAGAGCCCGGAGUCUCAUCUUUCAGUGACUUAUCAAGGCUAGACUAUUCCUCAGAAUCUCCACUGUGAAUCAGAAUACUGUUAAGAUAAACGUUAAUGCUUAAGUCAAAAAUAUUGGACUCAAAGAAGGAGUCAACAUGGUAAGAGGCCCUUCUGGCGCAUCAUCCCAGAAACUUCGUCUGACACCCUCCACCACGGGUCCUCCACACGGGAGGGGAUGCCUGGACAGUUGUGCACACAGAAACAACAUUUGUUCUCACUGGUUUGCUCUGCAGUCCCAGAAGCCCACCAAACAGAGUGGGAAAAAAAGACAUCUUGGGGCAAAAGACAAAGUGUGAUUCGAUACACUGAUCUCAUGUAAGCAUAGUUCUAAUUAGCUAAAUCAUUCCUUCAGCAAUAGUAAAGAGAGACUGCAACAGAUCUGAUACUCCAAUAGGCUUUGUCCAAUCUGGCAGAGUGGAUUCUUUAUCUGAAAUCAUCCACAACAACCACUUUCAGAAUGGGGCCAAUUUUCAGACCUAAAUUACCUCUGGCUCCACAGUAGCAUCUGCCCAUGAAAUCAGUUUCUACCAAAAGCUUAAACUCUCCAGCAGCAAUUAUCUGGAACAGCCUCAAAACUGCAUUUUUGCCAUUUGAGACUGUUUUCCACAAUUGCCAGCCAUCUUGCCUGUUAGCAUGCCUGUGGGAAGGACGGGCUGGUACUUACGGCAUUGAUUCCCUAUUUGAAGUUGUUGUCCUUGAAUCCUUUAUGACCAUCAGACAUAACACCCAGUGAAAAUGACGCCACCUGCAUUUAGAAUUAUUCAAAACCUGCCACCUCACAGAGGAAAAUUCAGCCCACCCUCAGGGAUGCAGGUCUUGACUCUGUUCUGGCUGAACUGUUAACAAUUCUCCUUUGCAAACUCCCAGAAGGAGACUUGAUGAUCUCUCCCACAUAGCACUUAAUGGGGAAGCAAAAACGAUUUUCAACUGAGGGAAUGUUUUUGCAAAGUGGAAAUCAAAUCCAUUUGUUAAUCUUCAAAAACUCUGGGCUGUGCAGAUUCUCAGGAAGACACUAAGCAUAUGGAUCACAACAGCGAUGGACCCUCAGCAAAUGGAGCCUGACAACUCCAGAACCAAGCACUUGCCUGGGGGAACCCCUCCCAGCAAACACUUCUCAAAUGGCAAACCUGGGUCCUGUUAGCUAUGCUGGCUGUGAUCUACUGGUGAAUGAAUGCCUAUCACCAAUAGUUAUUACAACAUCAACCUUCUCUAUAGAGUUUCUGAGUGAUUUUUUGCACAGAAAUAAGGAUUAUAGUUUACAACACUGCAGUGGUCCUAAGCUCAAAGUCCUCAUUCUUCAACCCGAGAGUUCUUUAUGUUGGUUACCCCUCAAUUACAUGUAACACAGGCUCCAUCAAGACAGAGACAGUGUGUGUUCGCUUGAUUAAAGUAAGCCCGCAGGCAACAGGAUAGAUUCCUAACCCCUAACUUUUACUUAAACUAAAAUACACGAACAGGAAAAUGCAGAAAACACAUCUGCCAAACAAUGUUUCAGUUUUCUCAUGCCUCAAAAUUAUCUUCUCAGACCAGGACUGUUAUUUUCUCUAAUGCAAGUCCAUGUGAGGGCAAAAUCAGUGUUGCCUUUCCCAUAUGCCCUCAUCAGACGGUUUCAGGCAGAACUUUCCUGCAAACACUGAGCCACACUGGCCUAGAAGGUCAGUCAGUUUGCAUUAGCUCAGCCCUGACUAUUCACAUCGAGUCGUGCUAAUUUCCAUUUACCUAAGAAGUAAAGGUUUUCCAAGGCUGGUUCCCAACCCUGCUCAGAUGCUAUGGAACUUAGAUGAUUCUGUGAAAAACUGAGAAGGCUCCAGAUAUCUGAGACAGCUGUGGGGCAUGUGCUCAGAAAGCCCAGCCUCUGUGGAAAAGCAGAGCUUUCUGUGUUUCAGUGAAAAUGCCCGUGAGGUUUAAGUCCCCCCUCCUCUGAAAUGACAGAAGAGACAACCAGCCACUGCGGGUUUCGACAGAGGAGGGUUAAGAAGUUGGGCAACACCAGCACCAGUGAACCCUCGGGGCCAGGAGAGCAGCAGCCUGGUUUGGUUUUCAGUCACCCACUGUGGUGGGAACAAUAAUGUGGGAUGAGAUCAAGUUCAAGAACAGUACACGCAAGCAAAAAUCUCAUUGUUUCUGUUAUUACAUUGUGAACAUCUCCUCUUUUGUUUUCUUUUAAAGAGCAUUGUUCAAAGGUUAAAUUUGUUGGCUAAGACAUCCCCUGAAAAGCUUAGUAACUUGGAAUUUUGGUGGCCAUAGUUUUCUGCCUGUGUGAGCUUCCCUCCAAGGUUAAUCUUAAAUAUAGACUCUCCCUCCUCUUUCCUUCCAAAUCCUCUUUUCUUUCCGAGCCUUCCAAGUACAUGGUUAGGCUCCAUUCCUGUUCUCAGCAGCGUAUACCAUCAUCUCUGCCAGACUUCCUCCAGCUGCCGCCCAUGAGUGCAUCUGCUGUAGAGUUCCCCACUUGAAAGGUGUCCCAGAAAGCCUGGCCUCAUUUUAUUCCCAGAGGAAUCCCAGAACCCUGGGAGACAACAGCUAACAGCUGGUCCAGAGAUUGUUGUACAAACUUUUGAGGCAACAACUGGCAAAUUGUAAGAAUACGAUGGAGUGCAGGCAGACUGGUUUGCCUGAGCUGAUUCGGACAAAAGACAGGGUGGGGAAGAGGACAAGUGGCUGUGGCUGAGGAUGGAGCAGGUCUCUACUUCUGUCCUGCACGUCUGUCCAUCCUUAGUGCUAGGCAUCUGUGAUUUGUUUUCAAAUUUCAAUAGUUUGGGGGGUACAGUUGAAUUUUGGUUACAUGGAUAAGUUAUUUAGUGGUAGUUUCUGAGAUUUUGGUGCACCCAUCACCCUGAGAAGUGUACACUGUACCAAUGUGUAGUCUUUCUUUUAUUCCUCACCCACCUCCCACACUUUCCCCUGAGUCCUCAAAGUCCAUUCUAUCAUUCCUUUUUUUUCUUUUUUUUCUUUUUUUGAGACAGAGUCUCGCUCUGUCACCCAGGCUGGAGGACAAUGGCUCAAUCUCAGCUCACUGCAACCUCCUCCUCCCAGAUUCAAGCAAUUGUCCCACCUCAGCCUCCCAAGUAGCUGGGAUUACAGGCGCCCACCACCACACCCAGAUACUUUUUGUAUUUUUGUAGAGACAGGGUUUCACCAUGUUGGACAGGCUGGUCUUGAACUCUUGACCUUGUGAUCCACCAGCCUCGGCCACCCAAAGUGGUAGGAUUAUAGGCAUGAGCCACCACACCUGGCUCAUUGUAUCAUCCUUAUGCCUUUGCAUCCUUAUAGCUUAGCUCCAACUUAUAAGUGAGAACAUACGAUAUUUGGUUUUCCAUUCCUGAGUGACUUCACUUCAAAUAAUGGUCUUCAAAUCCAUCCAGGUUGCUGCAAAGGCCAUUAUUUUGUCCAUUUUAUGGCUGAGUACUAUUCCAUGGUAUAUAUGUACCACAUUUUCUUUAUCCACUUAUUGGUUGAUGGGCAUAUAUGUUGGGUCCAUAUUUUUGCAAUUGUGAAUUGUGCUGCUAUAAACAUGCAUGUUGGGCACCCAUGAUAUUAUAAUCGUUUCCAUCUUGGUCACUAUCUGCCGUAUCAUAAGCACAAAAUUAUGACUUCACAAGAGGAUGGGCCAAAUGAGAAGCAGAACUGUGAGGGAAAAGAAUGCUUGUUAAAGCAAAACUAUUCUCAAUAAUUGAGAGAGGAAUUUCAGAAACUAACUCUGGCCAAGACCUUUUUUUAAUAUAUGUUCUCAGCAUUAGAGCUGUGUCCAAACCAUCCCUGCUGACACAUCCAUGACAGCCUAGGAUAAAUAAGCCUUUGAGAAACUGUCUGAGGAGUGACAUGGGAGCUGCCACCAGACCUUCCCAGGGAGCUCCUUGACUUCCCAUGCCCACUACCUUCCCACCAUAAAGGUGGGCCCAUUUGCUUUUGAUUUUGAAACUAAAGCAAAUUUAGUUUACAGAAGCCAUGUCUCAGGGUGGAAAAUAGCUCAUCUCUACUGGAAAACACUGACAGGCCAUUCAAUUCAUCACUGAGCAAAAAUCAGCAUGAGAGUAUCCAAAAUGAAGCGGCAGAAGGAAGGAAUUCACAGGCACAUCAGGAAAGGUCGUGUGGCAGCAGCGUUUGCUCCGCAGCCCGAGAACUCCCUCCAGACCAGCAAGAAGAAAUGAAGGACAGUCAGCCGGCACUGCCACUCAGAGGACUUGGUGCAAGGAGAAGCCGCGGCCAGCACUGGUCCUAUUGCCCAUGCUCCAGUAGCUUCUGCAAGCUAUGGGAUCACCAGUCCCAUUGCUAAUACGGGUUAGCAUAAACAUACCUUAUCCAAACAGAGAAGAAAAGACACAGAGUAUGUAUAAAUACAUAUUAUAGAUUCAUGAUACGUAAAGUGUGUCGAUAACCUAAAGAUUUCUUUGCCAGGCAUGGUGGUUCACGCCUGUAAUCCCAGCAUGUAAGGAGGCCAGGGAGGGUGGAUCACCCAAGA
rnacentral:lncRNA from 10 species